GCGGGAUUAGCUCAAUUGGCUAGAGCGUCCCGAUGGAAUCGGGAAGGUCUUCGGUUUUAUUCCGAAUUUCUUCUCCA
rnacentral:tRNA from 1 species